AUUGAAUUUAGCCCAUAUUUGGACUUUCCUCUUUCCUUUCUUCCGCUCCCAUUUCUAAGCAGAGAGACAGAAAUUUGAAAACCAGAUAGAGUGAGGGAGAAGGGGACGGAGGAGAGAGAGAAAGAGUACGGCAAAUAUGCAACUAAAUGUGAUAAAGAGGCUGACUACACAGCCCCAUAUGGGAAUUAUUAGGUGGAACCGUUCCUACAGUUCAGUACCAGUCUCUCCUCCUCCUCAGCAACAUAAUGCAGAUUACCAAGAACUGUAUAACCUUCUUCAAUCAGGCAAAACCUCAAUGGAUAUCAAAACUCUGAGUAAAAUCCAUUCAAGAAUUAUUACAUUUAGUUAUGGUACCAGUCCGUCUCUUAUGGCUUCUUUGAUGUUGAAAUAUGUGCAUUGCAAUUGCCGUAGUAUUGUUUAUAAAGUUAUUGAUCAAGUUUUCUGUUGGAGUAUUGAUUUGGUGGAGUUGAAUUUGAUCAUUGAUAAGUUAAUGAGAACGGAAAAUUAUAGGGUUGCCAAAAUGGUUUUUAAUAAAAUGCGUGCACGAGAUGUGGUUACAUGGAACACGAUGAUUGGAGGUUAUGUUAGAAAAGCACGAUUUGAGGAGGCAUUGAGACUUUUUAGAUUUAUGAAUAAAUCCAACGUUGAGCCAGAUAAAUAUACAUUUGCAUCAGUUAUAAAUGGGUGUGCAAAACUUGGAGCCCUUAAACAUGCUCAGUGGGUGCACGAGUUGUUGAUUGAGAAAAGAAUUGAGUUGAAUUUUAUUUUGAGUUCAGCAUUGAUUGAUAUGUAUUCCAAGUGCGGUAAAAUUCAGACUGCCAAGGAGAUUUUUGAUGGUGUCCAACGCAACAAUGUUUGUAUUUGGAAUGCAAUGAUCAGUGGUUUAGCAGUUCAUGGGCUUGCUUUAGAUGCAAUCAAAGUCUUUACAAAGAUGGAGGUGGAAAAUGUUUUGCCUGAUGCUAUAACUUUUCUUGGAAUUUUAACAGCAUGUAGCCAUUGUGGUUUGGUUAAAGAAGGUCGCAAAUACUUUGAUUUAAUGAGAAGUCGAUAUUCGGUUCAGCCACAUAUUGAGCAUUACGGAGCCAUGGUUGAUCUCUUGGGUCGAGCUGGGCUUCUAGAAGAGGCGUUUGCCAUGAUCAAAUCAAUGCCAAUGGAACCAGAUGUUGUUAUAUGGAGGGCACUUCUUGGUGCCUGUAGAACAUACAAGAAGCCAGAACUGGGUGAAGCAGCCAUGGCAAAUAUAUCUCGUCUCAGGAGUGGAGAUUAUGUCUUGUUGUCAAAUAUCUACUGCUCUCAAAAGAGAUGGGAUACUGCACAGGGAGUGUGGGAAAUGAUGAAAAAGAAGGGAGUUCAUAAGGUCCGGGGAAAGAGUUGUUUUGAGUGGGCUGGUUUUCUUCACCCAUUUAAGGCAGGUGAUAGAUCACAUCCUGAAACAGAAGCGAUAUACAAAAUGUUGGAAGGAUUAAUCCAGAGAACAAAGCUGGCUGGAUAUGUGCCCACAACAGACUUGGUUACAAUGGAUGUCUCUGAAGAGGAAAAGGAGGGAAAUUUGUAUCAUCACAGUGAAAAGUUGGCGUUGGCCUAUGGGAUCCUCAAGACUACCUCUGGAGCAGAAGUUAGGAUUUCAAAGAACCUCCGAAUCUGUUAUGACUGUCACAGUUGGAUAAAAAUAGUUUCAAGACUUUUAAGCAGAGUUAUUAUUGUAAGGGAUCGGAUUCGAUUUCACCGGUUUGAAAAUGGUUUAUGUUCUUGUGGAGACUAUUGGUAGUAGUUCCUUAAAAUUCUUGAUAAAAUAUUUGGUGCUUUUAUGUAGUUCCACAACUCAAUAAGCAGAGGUGGCUUGGUUAAUCUAUACCAAUGACAUCCACAAUUCGCAUUCCAAUGAAUAAAUUACUGUGAAGUUCAGGAGUUGCUUGGAUGUUAAUGAAAUGAUAUGAUUCUGCUGAGAACACAGUUGGUCGUUCACAAAUUUGGAUGAGAUAGCCUGAAUUUGUUGCUUGAAAUAGAAGUCAAGUUUACUUGGAACUAACAGCAUUAGGAGGAAUUUGCUUAGAUUGAGCCUAUGGAAUUGGGACUUGCCAAAAUUUGCAAUAUCUGGUAGCUGAAAUUUGAUCACAGGAAGAGUUUAAAGGAUUGGCAUUGAUUAGAUCUAGCCCAAUUAAACUUUUGGAGGAUGCACAUGUGAAAUGGAUGUUCUGUCAUUGACAGGUUCAAGUGGAUGUGGGACAGAUUUGCAUGAACCUCACAACACUUAAUUGAAAACAUUCAGCAAGCUAUCUUUCUUUCUGUUGCGAGACGUGAAGUUUGUGAUUGAAAUUUUGCUUUUAUCAGAAAUGAUGAAUCAUCAUGAAGCUGAGGAAAUCAAGCUUGGAUUAGACUUAUCCUAUAAACAAAACAUAAGGAACUUAUAUGUAGCUAGUGAUUCAAUGAUUACUAGCAAGACAUGCAAAGUUAUUAGAUUAGUUAGAGACAUCAUUUAUAAGUUUGAGAAUAUGUGAUAUUGUGUAUACAGAGCAAAAUCACCUGCUGGGCUACCCUGCAAUCCUUUGUUAGAUGAUAAUAGAUAGGAACCAGUUAUAUCUGGUGUUCUUAAA